GUGGGGAAUAUUGGACAAUGGGCGAAAGCCUGAUCCAGCCAUGCCGCGUGUGUGAAGAAGGUCUUCGGAUUGUAAAGCACUUUAAGUUGGGAGGAAGGGCAGUAAGUUAAUACCUUGCUGUUUUGACGUUACCGACAGAAUAAGCACCGACUAACUCUGUGUCAGCAGCCGCGGUAAUACAGAGGGUGCAAGCGUUAAUCGGAAUUACUGGGCGUAAAGCGCGCGUAGGUGGUUCGUUAAGUUGGAUGUGAAAGCCCCGGGCUCAACCUGGGAACUGCAUCAAAAACUGGCGAGCUAGAGUACGGUAGAGGGUGGUGGAAUUUCCUGUGUAGCGGUGAAAUGCGUAGAUAUAGGAAGGAACACCAGUGGCGAAGGCGACCACCUGGACUGAUACUGACACUGAGGUGCGAAAGCGUGGGGAGCAAACAGGAUUAGAAACCCGAGUAGUCC
rnacentral:rRNA from 1 species